AACGAACGCUGGCGGCAGGCUUAACACAUGCAAGUCGAGCGCCCCGCCAGGGGAGCGGCAGACGGGUGAGUAACGCGUGGGAACGUACCUUUUGGUUCGGAACAACUCCGGGAAACUGGAGCUAAUACCGGAUAAGCCCUAACGGGGAAAGAUUUAUCGCCGAAAGAUCGGCCCGCGUCUGAUUAGCUAGUUGGUGAGGUAACGGCUCACCAAGGCGACGAUCAGUAGCUGGUCUGAGAGGAUGAUCAGCCACACUGGGACUGAGACACGGCCCAGACUCCUACGGGAGGCAGCAGUGGGGAAUAUUGGGCAAUGGGCGCAAGCCUGAUCCAGCCAUGCCGCGUGAGUGAUGAAGGCCUUAGGGUUGUAAAGCUCUUUUGUCCGGGAAGAUAAUGACUGUACCGGAAGAAUAAGCCCCGGCUAACUUCGUG
rnacentral:rRNA from 1 species